UUCUCUUGUCCUUCAUUCCACCGGAGUCUGUCUCGUACCCACCCAGAUUUCAGUGGAGUGAAGCUCAGGAGGCG
rnacentral:pre_miRNA from 1 species